rnacentral:lncRNA from 1 species
AUGAGGAUCGUGGGAAGGUGCUUUUCCCACCGUGUGUCCUCACCCCGGGGGGGGCAUCCAGAUGUACUUUCGCGUGUCGGCUCAGUUAAGAUCACCCCAACAUUGGCCCGAGAGACGUUUGUUCAACUGAUCUUCAAACGAAGAUGGAGACCACAGAUCGUUCUUUCCAGAUGUUUUGUAGGCACGGAGCACAGCUUUUCCCUUUUGCUCACACCACACAGACGCCCUCCUGGACGCCCAGGAGCCUUCCCUCACCCCCUGCAGCUCUCAGUAUCGCGUUUUCCCUCUGCACACCCUCCCCCACGUUGCUCACGGUGCCCGGCCGCCCCGCGGAGCCACGAGCGGAGGACGGCAGCACACCGCCCGUCUCUCGGCACGGCGGGUGCCGGGCGCUGCCCUCCCCGAGCGCUCUGUUCCUCGACGUGCGGCCGCUGUGCCUCGGAGGGCGGCAGUCCCGGUCUGGGGAGGGUCGGGGGGACAGCGCUGCGCAACGAUGGGUUCUGCGGGUCUGGGCCGUGGAGGAAGGGGGUGGUGCUGACGCGGGGAUCUGGGAGCGGAAGGAUGGAGCGCAGCCCCGCUGCGAGGGACGCGGGGUACCGGCGGGCGGGCACGAGCCUGCAGCGCGACCUCGCAGCCCUUCAGCCAACCGUGCCCCGGGUGCGCCCGGCGCAGCGCGGCCGGCAGGGCGAGCAGGGAUGCGCUCCUCAUCUGCAGCGCCGCGCCCUCACGGGGAGCGCUCAGCGCAGGAGAGACGAGGAGAUGUCGGAGCGCAAAGAAACGCUCCCGGGAACGGGACCCCCCGUGCAGAGCGCUGCGGCCGGGAGAAGACAAAAGAUCACCGCGAGGGGAGGGAGAGGGGACGGCGGCGACUCCGCAGCCGCGUUACGGGCAGAGCAGCGGGGGCGGCAGCACCGGGGGCGGAUUCUCCCCCCGCACCGCCCCGCGCCCCCCCGCGUGCCGCCCCCUCCCGUCGUGCCGCCCCCACCACGUGACCCCCCCCGCCGCUCCCAGAGGUCCGCGGGGCCGUUCCGCGCCGCUCCGCCGCUCUGCGCGCAUGUGCCGUGCCCGUACUCCCCCCGCGCGGCCGUUCGGAGCGGGGAACGAUGA